CCCCGCCGAUCGCCGCCAUCCGCGGGUCCCUCGCAUCCUUCGCCCGGGGGAGCGGCGGGGCCCCCUCGGCUGAGCGGUAAAACCCGGCGCUGCUGAGGGAAAACCCCGCUAAGGCUGAGGAAAUGAGCUCAAGAGUAGUUUGAGAGCUGGUUGCUUUGGUGGAUCAGUCACAUCCCUCCUUUUAGUGCAGCACCCAAGACUGGACACUGCUACAGUUGAGGCCUCAACAUCUGCUGUCCUGCCUGUCACAGACCACAUUCCUGUGUACAUGUGCCAAUACAAAUACUUUAGAGUCAGUCUGAUCUAUCCACAGUCUUGCUGACCUGUCUUACCCCCGCAUCCAUUUCUGCUGACCUACCAAGCCAGUUAUUUCUCCCUCAAGUAGACAGUAAUGCUACUUGAGAAAUUACUUCCUGCAGCAGCCCUAAUGCUAUGCCCUCAUUUUUAUUGCUGGAUAAUCAAGCAGUCAAAACACAUUUUGAAAUAAAAUUCCACGUGAUGUUAAGUCAGAAAACUGUAGAAUUUGUCAUCCUUUGUGAAUUGACUGCAUUUCUCUCAAGAAUUGUAUUUGAAAAAGCAAAACUUAGAUUCAACUGUGCCACGGUUACAGAAAGGUUGUGUAACUAAAUUUAGAAGAGAGAUUUGUACAUAUUUGUAAAUAUUUUAAACUUUAAAUUCACUUAAACUAAAGCAGCUAAAAUAAUGUAACUGUAAGCAAGGAUUGGUAACAAAGAAUGUAGGUCAAGGAGAGGGUGGUGUUAUACCAAUAUAAGGUAAAAUAUGAUAGAAACAGUGUAGCUUCCCAUC